rnacentral:rRNA from 1 species
UACGUAGGGGGCGAGCGUUGUCCGGAAUCACUGGGCGUAAAGGGCGUCUAGGCGGCUUAGUAAGCGGAAUGUGAAAGCCCAGGGCUCAACCCUGGAAAGCCGUUCCGAACUACUAGGCUUGAGUUCGGGAGAGGGCAGUGGAAUUCCCGGUGUAGCGGUGAAAUGUUUAGAUAUCGGGAGGAACACCAGUGGCGAAGGCGGCUGCCUGGACCGAUACUGACGCUGAAGCGCGAAAGCCAGGGUAGCGAACGGGAUUAGAUACCCCGGUAGUCCUGGCCGUAAACUAUGAACACUAGGUGUUGGGGGCAUCAACCCUUCCAGUGCCGAAGCUAACGCAUUAAGUGUUCCGCCUGGGGAGUACGGCCGCAAGGCUAAAACUCAAAGGAAUUGACGGGGCCCCGCACAAGCGGUGGAGCAUGUUGCUUAAUUCGACGCAACGCGAAGAACCUUACCAGGCCUUGACAUGUAGGGAAUCCUCCCGAAACGGAGGAGUGCCCUUCGGGGAACCCUAACACAGGUGGUGCAUGGCU